GUCCCCGUAGCUCAGCAGGAUAGAGCAUCGGUUUCCUAAACCGAAGGCCGCACGUUCGAAUCGUGCCGGGGACGCCA
rnacentral:tRNA from 1 species